rnacentral:tRNA from 1 species
UCUCGAUUGGUCUAGUGGUAAGGAUACCUGCUUGUCAUUUGUCGAUUCGAUUACCACGAGCGUGGAUUCUGGGCUUUACAGUAUUCGAAGAGCAAGCCGCAGGUGGCCGGGGUUCGAUUCCCCGAUCGAGAG